AUGAACGCUAGCUACAGGCUUAACACAUGCAAGUCGAGGGGCAGCGGGAUUGAAGCUUGCUUCAAUUGCCGGCGACCGGCGCACGGGUGAGUAACGCGUAUCCAACCUUCCGUACACUCAGGGAUAGCCUUUCGAAAGAAAGAUUAAUACCUGAUGGUAUGAUGAGAUUGCAUGAUAGCAUCAUUAAAGAUUUAUCGGUGAUGGAUGGGGAUGCGUCUGAUUAGCUUGUUGGCGGGGUAACGGCCCACCAAGGCGACGAUCAGUAGGGGUUCUGAGAGGAAGGUCCCCCACAUUGGAACUGAGACACGGUCCAAACUCCUACGGGAGGCAGCAGUGAGGAAUAUUGGUCAAUGGACGAGAGUCUGAACCAGCCAAGUAGCGUGCAGGAUGACGGCCCUAUGGGUUGUAAACUGCUUUAUAAGGGAAUAAAGUGGGAGUCGUGACUCUUUUUGCAUGUACCUUAUGAAUAAGGACCGGCUAAUUCCGUG
rnacentral:rRNA from 1 species